rnacentral:rRNA from 1 species
GACGAACGCUGGCGGCGUGCUUAACACAUGCAAGUCGAACGGAAAGGCCCUGCUUUUGUGGGGCUGUCGAUUGGCGAACGGGGGAGUAACACGUGUGUAACCCGCCCUUGACUUUGGGGUAACUUUAGGAAACUGGGGCUAAUACCGGAUAGAAGAUUUUGAUCCAUGGUGUUCGUUGGAAAGUUUCGGCUUUUGGGGAUCUACUCGCGGCGUAUUAGCUAGUUGGUGAGGUAGGGGCUUACCAAGGCUAUCAUGCAUAGCCGACCUGAGAGGGUGAUCGGCCACAUUGGGACUGCGACACGGGCCAGACUCCUACGAGAGGCAGCAGUAGGGAAUCUUCGGCAAUGGGCGAAAGCCUGACCGAGCAACGCCGCGUGAGUGAAGAAGGUCUUCGGAUCGUAAAACUCUGUUGGUAGGGAAGAACAUAUGUGAAAGUAAAAGGGCACUUCAGGACGGUACAUAACCAAAAAGCCACGGCUAACUUCCUG